AGGACUAACGCUGGCGGCGUGCCUAACACAUGCAAGUCGAACGGGGGUAGCAAUACCCCAGUGGCAGACGGGUGAGUAACACGUGGUCAACCUACCUCUGUGUGGGGGAUAACUAGCCGAAAGGUUAGCUAAUACCGCAUACGAUCGUUUUGAGGCAUCUCGAGACGAUGAAAGGAGCAAUCCGCACGGAGAGGGGACUGCGUCCCAUUAGUUAGUUGGUGGGGUAACGGCCUACCAAGACUCCGAUGGGUAGCUGGCUUGAGAGAGCGACCAGCCACACUGGAACUGAGACACGGUCCAGACUCCUACGGGAGGCAGCAGUGAGGAAUUUUCCGCAAUGGGCGAAAGCCUGACGGAGCGACGCCGCGUGUGGGAUGAAGGCCUUCGGGUCGUAAACCACUGUCGAAGGGGACGAUAUUGACGGUACCCUUGGAGGAAGCCCGGCUAACUACGUGCCAGCAGCCGC
rnacentral:rRNA from 1 species